rnacentral:rRNA from 1 species
UACGAGAGGUGGCAAGCGUUGUUCGGAAUUACUGGGCGGUAAAGGGCGCGUGAGGCGGUCAGGUCAGUCCCGAUGUGAAAUCCCUCGGCUCAACUGAGGAACUGCACGGGAAACUGCCUGGCUUGAGUCGGGAGAGGGAAGCGGAAUUCCGGGUGUAGCGGUGGAAAUGACGUAGAUAUCCGGAGGAACACCGGUGGCGAAAGCGGCUCACUGGGCUCGGUUCUGACGCUGAGGCGCGAAAGCG